rnacentral:misc_RNA from 1 species
CUCGUGCAAUCAAAUGUCUUCGUGCUUUGAUUGUUUUGCCCACACGUGAUUUAGCAGUGCAGGUUAAAGAAGUUUUUGCUGCAAUUGCACCUGCGGUGGGCUUAUCUGUUGGUUUGGCUGUAGGGCAAUCUUCAAUUUCUCAUGAAAUUUCAGAGCUUAUUAAGAGACCUAAGUUUGAGGCUGGCAUUUGUUAUGACCGGGAAUAUCUUAUGCAAGGGUUUGAGAGUUCAGUGGAUAUAUUGGUGGCAACUCCAGGACGGC